rnacentral:rRNA from 1 species
GUGGGGAAUAUUGGACAAUGGGCGAAAGCCUGAUCCAGCAAUGCCGCGUGAGUGAUGAAGGCCCUAGGGUUGUAAAGCUCUUUUACCCGGGAUGAUAAUGACAGUACCGGGAGAAUAAGCUCCGGCUAACUUCGUGCCAGCAGCCGCGGUAAUACGAGGGGAGCUAGCGUUGUUCGGAAUUACUGGGCGUAAAGCGCGCGUAGGCGGUUUUUUAAGUCAGAGGUGAAAGCCCGAGGCUCAACCCCGGAAUAGCCUUUGAAACUGGAAAACUAGAAUCUUGGAGAGGUCAGUGGAAUUCCGAGUGUAGAGGUGAAAUUCGUAGAUAGUCGGAAGAACACCAGUGGCGAAGGCGACUGACUGGACAAGUAUUGACGCUGAGGUGCGAAAGCGUGGGGAGCAAACAGGAUUAGAUACCCCAGUAGUCC